GAGUUUGAUCNUGGCUCAGANCGAACGCUGGCGGCAUGCUUAACACAUGCAAGUCGCACGGACCCUUCGGGGUUAGUGGCGCACGGGUGAGUAACACGUAGGAAUCUGUCUUGAGGUGGGGGAUAACUCCGGGAAACUGGAGCUAAUACCGCAUGAUAACUGAGGUUCAAAGGUCGCAAGACCGCCUUGAGAGGGGCCUGCGUUCGAUUAGUUAGUUGGNGGGGUAAUGGCCUACCAAGACGAUGAUCGAUAGCUGGUUUGAGAGGAUGAUCAGCCACACUGGGACUGAGACACGGCCCANACUCCUACGGGAGGCAGCAGUGGGGAAUAUUGGACAAUGGGGGCAACCCUGAUCCAGCAAUGNCGCGUGUGUGAAGAAGGUCUUCGGAUUGUNAAACACUUUCGUUGGGGACGAUGAUGACGGUACCCAAAGAAGAAGCCCCGGCUAACUUCGUGCCAGCAGCCGCGGUAAUACNAAGGGGGCGAGCGUUGCUCGGAAUANCUGGGCGUAAAGGGCGCGUANGCGGCCGAUAGCUGUCANAUGAGAAAUUUUUGGGCUCAACCCNAAAACUGCAUUUGAUACGUAUUGGCUAGAGUGCGAGAGAGGAUUGCGGAAUUCCCAGUGUAGAGGUGAAAU
rnacentral:rRNA from 1 species